rnacentral:rRNA from 1 species
UUCCGGUUGAUCCUGCCAGAGGCCACUGCUAUCGGAGUUCGAUUAAGCCAUGCGAGUCGAGAGGUGCAAGACCUCGGCAUACUGCUCAGUAACACGUGGACAAUCUAACCUAAGGUGGGGGAUAACCCCGGGAAACUGGGGAUAAUACCCCAUAGGCUAUAGAUGCUGGAAUGCGCUGUAGCCGAAAGGUCCGCCGCCUUAGGAUGGGUCUGCGGCCGAUUAGGUUGUUGUUGGGGUAACGGCCCAACAAGCCUGUAAUCGGUACGGGUUGUGGGAGCAAGAGCCCGUAGAUGGAUUCUGAGACACGAAUCCAGGCCCUACGGGGCGCAGCAGGCGCGAAAACUUUACAAUGCGGGAAACCGUGAUAGGGGAACUCCGAGUGCCCGUUAAAUCGGGCUGUCCACCAGUUUAAAUAACUGGUGAAGAAAGGGCCGGGCAAGACCGGUGCCAGCCGCCGCGGUAAUACCGGCGGCUCGAGUGGUGGCCACUAUUACUGGGCUUAAAGCGUUCGUAGCUGGUUUGUUAAGUCUCUGGGGAAAUCUUCCGGCUUAACCGGAAGGCGUCUCAGGGAUACUGGCAGACUAGGGACCGGGAGAGGUGAGGGGUACUCCAGGGGUAGGAGUGAAAUCCUGUAAUCCUUGGGGGACCACCUGUGGCGAAGGCGCCUCACCAGAACGGCUCCGACAGUGAGGGACGAAAGCUGGGGGAGCAAACCGGAUUAGAUACCCGGGUAGUCCCAGCCGUAAACUGUGCGCGUUAGGUGUAUCGGUGACCACGAGUCACCGAGGUGCCGAAGAGAAAUCGUGAAACGUGCCGCCUGGGAAGUACGGUCGCAAGGCUGAAACUUAAAGGAAUUGGCGGG